rnacentral:lncRNA from 1 species
CCACCCCCCCCCCCACCCCCACCACCCCUCCCCCGGGCCGGAGCCACCGCCGCCACCCACCGCGCAGGCGGGACCGCGGGCAGUCCCUGGACUUUCCAGUAAACAGAGAAGCUCUAUCUUUGUCCCGGGCCACCGGGAGGCACUUGGGCCCGUUCAUCUUGUUUUUUCAGAUGUUCCCUUGGGUUCUCUUCCUGGCCCACCUCCUGCCCCAGACACUUCCCCGCGGCCAGUUAGCAUCUUCUGCGCGGAAGCUGGAGUCCAGGGAGGCUCGAAGGGUGGUCCCGGGCCCGGGAGCGCGGCCUCAGCUGGAAGCUGGCCAGGAAUGCAGUUCUCAGGCCCUGCUUCGGACCUGCUGAAUCGGAAACGCUGGGAAAGCAGCCCAGCCGACUUUUCUACAGCUUCUCCAGGUGACUCCAUGCACACCCAAGCAUGUGAACCAAGGAGUCUCGCUGCUGGUUGCCCACGAGCUGGACUUUCAUCUGUUCUGUGUGGCUGGGUCCUCAGGCCCCGAGGGCUGUCCAGCCCUGAGCAGGUUGUGGCGCCUGAUACCGCUUCUUCCACAUGGCCUUACAGAGUCUACGUGCUCAACGAUACGUGCUUCUCCCUUCCUGAAGAGCUGUCCUUCUGAACAGCUCGGGGCUCCAGGGAGAACCAGGACUGCGCUCCCCUUCAGGUAAUGACUGAAAGAUGACACCUGGCAGCCUCUCAGAGCUGGCACACCUGGGCCCAGGCAGAGAUGUCUUAGCUCUCAGAAAGUGAAAGAAUACUUUCUUUCACUUGUAUUGUAUUGUAUCAGCUCUUGUAUUAAAAGAGCUGAUAUUGCAGGCAUCUGGGGAAAGAAAAAGAAAACUGUGUUCUUUAUACCUCCAUCUACUUCUUAAGAAAAACAAAACUAAACACUGCAAAUAAAAAGAGAAACAGAGCUUUCCUAUGGGACAUGAUCCACAUACCCAGGGCAAAUUUGGCCUGAUUCUGUUUCAACAUAAUUAACAUUUGCACUAAUUACAAAUGCAUUCCUGUCUUCAGGACUGAUGCUAGGCUUGGCUGCCCCCAGCUCUGGCCUUGGCAUUUGACUCCUGCCUUUGUUAGGAGAAGCAAAGGAAGUAAAGACCCAUAGAACCCACACUUGUCUUCCCCUCUGUUCCUGCUUGUGCACUCCCUGCCCCUCCACACUGACACAUACACACUGAGACCCUUUCAUAUUCAGAGGUGCUUAUGGAGGCUGGAGGCAUCAACACCUGGCAUUUCCAGGGCCAAGAAUUUCAUCAGAUAUUGCCCAGCUGAGCUGUCAGCAAUGUCAUGAUUUUAAAAUUUUUGGAAAAGGAAACAGACUAGUCUUGAGCAGUGAUCACUAAGUAUACCAUAUACGUUGGUUUGUAUACACAAGUAUGUGUGCACACACACCUGCAGGUAGGCACUAAAGCCCACCCACUGCUGUCUCAAAAUCCUUGUC